rnacentral:rRNA from 1 species
AGUCCACGCCCUAAACGAUGUCUACUAGUUGUUGGGUCUUAAUUGACUUAGUAACGCAGCUAACGCGUGAAGUAGACCGCCUGGGGAGUACGGUCGCAAGAUUAAAACUCAAAGGAAUUGACGGGGACCCGCACAAGCGGUGGAUGAUGUGGAUUAAUUCGAUGCAACGCGAAAAACCUUACCUACCCUUGACAUGUACAGAAUGCCGAAGAGAUUUGGCGGUGCUCGCAAGAGAACUGUAACACAGGUGCUGCAUGGCUGUCGUCAGCUCGUGUCGUGAGAUGUUGGGUUAAGUCCCGCAACGAGCGCAACCCUUGUCAUUAGUUGCUACAUUAAGUUGAGCAUUCUAAUGAGACUGCCGGUGACAAACCGGAGGAAGGUGGGGAUGACGUCAAGUCCUCAUGGCCCUUAUGGGUAGGGCUUCACACGUCAUACAAUGGUACAUACAGAGGGCCGCCAACCCGCGAGGGGGAGCUAAUCCCAGAAAGUGUAUCGUAGUCCGGAUUGUAGUCUGCAACUCGACUACAUGAAGUUGGAAUCGCUAGUAAUCGCGGAUCAGCAUGUCGCGGUGAAUACGUUCCCGGGCCUUGUACACUCCGCCC